rnacentral:misc_RNA from 1 species
GAUGAAGAACGUAGCGAAACGCGAUAAGUAAUGUGAAUUGCAGAAUCCAGUGAAUCAUCGAGUCUUUGAACGCACAUUGCGCCCCCUGGUAUUCCGGGGGGCAUGCCUGUCCGAGCGUCAUUGCUGCCCUCAAGCACGGCUUGUGUGUUGGGCCUCCGUCCUCCUCCCGGGGGACGGGCCCGAAAGGCAGCGGCGGCACCGCGUCCGGUCCUCGAGCGUAUGGGGCUUCGUCACCCGCUCUUGUAGGCCCGGCCGGCGCUUGCCGACACAUCAAUCUUUUUUCCAGGUUGACCUCGGAUCAGGUAGGGAUACCCGCUGAACUUAAGCAUAUCAAUAAGCGGAGGA